CGUACACUCCUGCGGGAGGCAGCAGUGGGGAAUUUUGGACAAUGGGCGAAAGCCUGAUCCAGCCAUGCCGCGUGCAGGAUGAAGGCCUUCGGGUUGUAAACUGCUUUUGUACGGAACGAAACGGCCUUUUCUAAUAAAGAGGGCUAAUGACGGUACCGUAAGAAUAAGCACCGGCUAACUACGUGCCAGCAGCCGCGGUAAUACGUAGGGUGCAAGCGUUAAUCGGAAUUACUGGGCGUAAAGCGUGCGCAGGCGGUUAUGUAAGACAGUUGUGAAAUCCCCGGGCUCAACCUGGGAACUGCAUCUGUGACUGCAUAGCUAGAGUACGGUAGAGGGGGAUGGAAUUCCGCGUGUAGCAGUGAAAUGCGUAGAUAUGCGGAGGAACACCGAUGGCGAAGGCAAUCCCCUGGACCUGUACUGACGCUCAUGCACGAAAGCGUGGGGAGCAAACAGGAUUAGAUACCCGGGUAGUCC
rnacentral:rRNA from 1 species